CCACGUAUUACGUGAACACCAACCUGUCUGUUCUUUUGUUAUGCUAUAUUCUUUUUUCCUACGUUCAAAUAUCAGUCAACUUGGAUUUGAGUAUAUAAACCGCUUGAUGUUGAAUCAUGUAGAUUGAAGAGUUUUCCGUAACGUUAUGCUGUUCAGUGUUUGUUUCUACUUUUACUUUUGUUUCAAUGUUAAGCUACGCGCGCGCUGAUUGGUCGAUCAAUAGCUAGCCGCCAAUUUUCACAUUCGAUGCUGCCAUGUUGUCUGCCAUCACCGAGAUGGUAAAGUGAAUGAAAAUAAGGGAAUAAGGCUGUGCACAAGGUAAAAGAAACAUUGUCAAUUGAGUGUUUACUUUUGGAAAAUCCACGGCUAAACAGAGGACGAAUAUAAGUGAAGAAUCGAGUCUCAACACCCAAGGCCACUGCAUGCACCAUCUGCAUGAUCAUGAGCACGUUUUUGAAAAAGUGUCUGCCCUGGUGACUGGGUUACACAGACCUAAAGAAAACCAUGCAAAAAAAAAAAACCCACUGAUUUUAUGAUUAAAUGAUGCAACCAAAAAAGAGUGAAGACAGAAUUUGUGUAAGACUUACGUAGAAAAGCAUAUAAACAACAGUGCUGAAGUUUGACCAUUCCAUUGUGGGUAUUAUUGUGAUAUUCGGCUAUUUGUGUGAUAUUGUUUAUGUGUGAAAUUAAAUCGGAGAGCACGUACAGGAAACCGUCAUAAAAGACAUCGAGAAUGCCUUAAAGAAUCCGUGAUUAAUUGUAACAUGACCAGUGACCGUGCAGGGCUUAAUUGUGAACUACCGGUAAAAGUAUCGACCUAUUUUCCGAAAAAUAUGGUAUAUGGUUUGAACUCCGCUCAUUGUGAACUUUUGACAAGUCCAUCUGUGCAUGCAUGUUGUGAUCAAACUGCAUUCAAGUUUAUCGAUCUGCAGCAACAAAUCAUCACCUAUCGGUUGAGUACUAUUUGUCAAAUUUCAAUAUGGUUUGCUCAUCAGUUUUGUGUUUAUUUUUGAAAUUUAUAAAUUGUGUAAAAUUUUAAGUUAAUUACUUGUGUCCUUUAUCUCUAAUUUUGCUGCAACUGUUUAAGUUAAACAACAUCUUUGUCAAUCACCAGUAGAAGUUAUUUGUUAAUUGAUUGAAAAGCAUAGUACAUGUAUUAGUAACUCAUUAUUAAAUGAUUAUUAGUGUU